ensembl:lncRNA
UUUAUGCUGCUUUCUCUUUUCAUUAAGAAUAAAACAUUAUAAAUACAAGGUCUUCAUAUAUUAUGACUGACUUAGCACAUAUAUGAUAAAUACUGCACUAUUAUGACAGGGAGGAUCACCUUUCCCAAAUUUUAACCAAUGGGUCAAUGGAAAGUAUUUUCCUCACAAUUUUGUUUCAUCUGUGUUAUGUAUAUUCUUAAAAGAUAGGCUGCUAAUCAACAUUCAUUGAGUAUUCACUCUAUAAUGAGCAAAAUGCUAAGCAAUAUUUUAAUACAAUUUAUAGUUUAUUAUUUCACCAUUCUGUGUUACUUUUACCUGGGUAUCUUAUCCAAUUACUUAUAUUUAUUUACUCACUGAUAUACACCCAAGUGAAUAAAAUGUCCCACAGAUUUUUAUGCCCAAUGUGUGUGAUUCUUCCUUCCACUUGAGAUAUGUGGCACUAAGAGACCAUAAAGCUUAACACUUUAAGGACACUCACUUCUUAAAUACUUAGCUGUGGUACCAAUUUCUGUCUAUCUAGGAGUAAAAUACAAAACAGUAGCAAUCAGACUCUUCUCUGAUAUCUGCUCCAUCUAAAGAGAAAGGGAAAUGGCUGCACUGAAGAUCCAGGCAGCCCAUUACUUUUUAAUAGGUAGAGGGCUAUUUUGGGUAUCCACAGACGUCUUUAUUUACAAUUAUUAAGAAUUAUUUUGGAUUUAUCCAACCACUUGUACUGUAUUUACAGAUAUUGAAUGAAAUGCAAAUAUAGCCAGAACAAAGUGAGUUUCAAUAGAAAUUAUUUAAAAUCAAAGAUGUUUGGUUCUACAUAAAUUUGUUUAAAAAGCAUCUGAUGAUGAUUUCUAGAACUGAAUUUAUGAGCUUUUAACUCUAACUGUUCAAUGCUUAUAGAUCACAGCUCUCCCAUUGUGGAUUCUACCUGCUAAUUAGUACAUAAAUUUAUAAUUGCACAGUUCUUUGGAAUCUUUUCACCAAAGGCAGUCAUUACCAGCAACUUAAAAUAUAGCAAAAACCAUAUAUCUGAAAAUCUGAGUAUAAAUUUACUUUCUGCCUCAAUUGAAGUUUAGUUCAGGUGUCUAAUGUCCUUUGACUCAGUUGUAAAGAGAUUAUCCCUCUACCAUCCACAAAAAAUGACAAGGUAUCCUUUUUAAAUUCUAUUUCUGCUUAGCUAAAUACUUGCAUCUCAGGUAAUUAAUUUGUACUGUGAAGUCCUUUCUUUCUUUUUCUUUAAACUAGAGAAUUUUUUUUUUGCUUUUGGUGGUAUCAGUGGCAUUUGUUUCUUUGUAUUAUUUUAUGAUAAGCAGACUUUAUUUUUAUCCCAAUAAUAACAAUGAUUGGGCUGGCUGGGUGGUGCAGUGGUUGCAUGUGCAUGUUCUGCUUUGGCAGCCCAGGGUUCACUGGUUCGGAUCUUGGGUGUGGACAUGGCACUGCUUGUCAAGCCAUGCUGUGGCAGGCACCCCACAUAUAAAGUAGAGGAAGAUGGGCAUGGAUGUUAGCUCAGGGCCUGAAAUUAGAAGUAUACAGGUUAAAUAACAACCUGACUAGAAAUGUCUUCCUUAUCUGAAGUAAAACUUUCCCAGCAACUGAGGCUAGCAAUUCAAAGCAUAUACAAUCUUUCUGUCUGCAUGCUCCUCUGCUUACACUCCCCUUUUCUCAGGACUUAAGAGUAACCCCAUUCCUGGAAGCCUGGAUAUACAACAAAAUGGUAGAGUUAUUGUGUACUGAAGCUGGCUGGUAACGAAGAGGAAAAACCUCUGUGUCUGCAGACAAGCUUCCUGGCAGCAGAAUCCACUAUCCACCAGGGAGGCAGACAACCAAGGACAUCUGCCUGUGGAUUCCCUUAUCUCACCAUCCUUUUCCCUGAAAACAGCCUCAUAAAGCCAAACACAGCCCAUGGGAAAGUGCCAACCAGCAAGGCCACAGGUUCCCCUUCCCUACAAGCAGCCACAUUCCUCAUAACCUUUAAAACUCAUUACUCACUUUUUCAUGGGGAACCAGCAGUUCCUAAGGCACUAUCCUGCUGCUGCUUCCUUUGCCUAACAAAAAAAUAUAAAGCUUUUUCCUUUUCAUUUUCACCCAAAAUUCUGUUCUCAUUAUUUGGAUUGUUUCCAAGUUCAGAGACCAAACUUCCAGUAAUAAACCUGGCCAUCCAGAUGGGACCCAUGGGUGGUCCCCACUGAGACCUCCUCAGCUUAAUCAGACACUACCGAGUCAAUCUCCAUGCCUGUCCAAAUUGGGGAAGUGGAGGUUUGAAGAAAAGCUCAGGGAGGCCACAUCCCUGAGGCCCAGUGCUUGGUUGUUUGGACCCUCGGUCAAACCCAGGUCUGCUCCCUUGGCUGGACUCUGCGCAGUACCUGGGAUGGUUGGUGAGAUUGCCCGAGCAGCUGGCAAAGCCAGUUUUGCUUCGGGGACUUUCUCUCCCACUCCCUUCCAUUGGCAGCCGUUCAGACCUCCGGCUACCAGGGAAACCACCUUGCAGAAAAGGAAAGCAGCUGGAAGAAAAGUUGCGAUGCCCCAGCCAGAUUGGGUAAGUCCUCUAGUGUGCACAGGGAGAUUUCUUUGUCCUUGCUCAUUUGAGAAGAUCCAUGAGGUAGAUCUUCAUUUGUUGCAUGCAACUGAGUUUAGGACACGGACUAAGUGGGACUAGAAACAGAAGUUUUGGUUUUUGGUUUUGGUUUCUUUGUUCUAGCUUACAUUAGCUGGCUGAGGGUUUUUUAGGAAAGCAUGCUUCUUUGGUGUUUGGUUGCUAUUUGUCUGUUUGUCAAAGGUGUUAAUAUGGGAGGUGCCGCAUCUAUUCCAACUAAGAGCCUCUUGGGGAAGAUUUUGGCUGAUUGACCUACUGUUAUAAGCCAAUGACUAAGAAACAAAUCAUAUUUUAUUGUAACACUGCCUUGCCAAUGUAUGUCUUAGAAAGUGAAGGAAGAUGGCCAUUGAAGGGAACUUUAAAUUAUUAGACUAUUUCGUACUUGGAGUUAUUUUGUGAGAGAUCUGGGAAAUGGGAUGAGAUUCCAUAAGUGCAGGAUUUUAUGCAAUUGCACAAUCAGGAAGGUGAUCAGCUAGGAACCAAACUGAUGGUCCAAAGAAAAGCCAAGCCUCCCAUGGUCAAAGAUGCUCAGACACUGGAAGAAAACCUUGAUGAGGACAUGGCUGCCUUAAGUGUGUUCAAUCCUUUUGAUCCUAAUUUCAGUGUAGCACAGCUGCUGAUAGCAAGUGCUCCCAACACCCCGCAGCAAUCCCAGGCAAUGGGAAGUGGAAGGGAACCCCGCAGCAAUAGCCCCCUUUGUCUCCACCCUUACUGAAUGAAGAGGCAGUGGGGUGGGCUGAACCCCCCAAGGAUCCCCCUAGGUAUGAGUCAGGAGCAGGAAUCCUCUCCCCUUUAAGGACCCGACAAGGUACUGUUUUCUGCCAGGGAUCCUCUGGGAUGGGGACAGGGCAAUUCCCUCUGUGCCAGUUGCCUGUAGGAACAAAUGGCCAGGGGCAAUUGGCUGUCUACUAUUGGAUGUAUACCCUUUUUUCAACUUCUGAUUUGCUGAAUUGGAAAAGCCAAGACCUGUCCUACUGGAAGAACCAACAAAAGAUGACAGAUGUGUUUACAGUCAUUUUCUCUAUCCACUGCCCUACUUUGGUAGGUGUUCAGUCCUUGUUGAGCACAAUGCUUAUGGGCAAGAAGCAGUGCCUUGUGGUAAUAAAAAUUAAAGCAAAAGCUCAGCAUUUACAUGAUGUGGAUCCCAAUCAGAUUCCCACUCCUGUGUGGCCAUAGCCCAAGUAGAGCCUAAUUGGGACCCAAACACAGAUGUGAGGAAUGCAUUAUUGAGCCAUUACCAGAGGUGCAUCCUGGCUGGAUGUAAAAAAGGAGUUCUCAAAGGAGCUUAAAUAAGGUUCAGGAACUACAGCAAGAACUGGGAGAAAAUCCUGUGGUGUUCUUAGAAUGCAUAUAUCAGGCAUAUAGAAAAUAUACUGACUCAGAUCCAGAAGCCCCCCAAAACCUCCAAAUGGUCAACAUGACCUUUAUUGGACAGAGAGUCCCAGACAUGAGAAGGAAGCUCAAUAAGGUUGAAGGGGCCAUAGCCAUGAGUUCUAGCCAAUUGGUAGCAACUGCUUUCAAAGUCUAUAACGUUCAAGAGGAACACAAAGCCAAGUCAGUCAAGUUGUUUUACACUGCUCCUCCAGACAGAAGGAAAAGAAAAUGGAGUCCAAGGCCUGGGAAAAAGGGACACCAAAAAUUGGAGAAAAAUCAAUGCACCUAUUGCAAAGAAGAGGGGCAAUGGAAAAAUGAGUGCCGUAAGCUAGAAAAAGGCACCAAAGAGGGAAAGCAGGGUCCCACGAAGAAGCUCAUGACCUCCCAAGUUUGAGACUCAGAGGAGGAAGAUGAUGAUUGAUGGGUCCUGGGGUUCCUUGCCAUGCUUGCUGCUCCCAUUUCAAUAGUCCUCCACGAACCCCGGGUACAAAUAACAGUGGGGACCAAAGUGGUUGACUUUCUAGUGGAUACUGGUGCCACUUAUUCAGUGUUAAACUGCAAAUUGACGUCACUGAGUAAUUCCCCAGUUGCCAUUGUUGGAGUCACUGGUGAAACUCAACAGAGACCCACGCUGCAAUGGCUGGAAUGCAAAUUGGGAGAACAAAAGCUGAAACAUAGCUUUUUCUAUAUACUAGACUGUCCCAUCACCCUUUUUGGACAAGAUUUGCUUUGCAUAUUGAAUGCUCAAUCUUCUCACCCAAGAAGCAGCAGCUCCACCUCCAAGGGCCACUGGAAAAUGCACUCAGACUCCAGGCCUUCCUGGAAAGAACAGAAGAAGGGGAACACCUAACACUGCCCGAGAUCUACCAGCAAGUGAGUACUGGUGUCUGGCUGAUGGGGUCCCUGGGCACGCUCCAUUUGCCACUGUAAUAAGAAUUGAACUGAAGGAAGGCACCCCUUGUCCAAGAAAGAAAUAAUAUCUCCUGAACAAAGAGGACUUGAGAGUAGCCAACUGAUUUUGCAAAGAUUUUUGCAGCACAGGCUAAUAAGGCCCUGCCGAUCACCAUACAACAAGCCCAUUUUACCAGUAAAAAAACCCCACACUCAGAUGAGUACUAGUUUGUGCAAGAUUUAAGGGCCAUUAACGACAUUGUACAGAAUACAUAUCCAACAAUACCAAACCCCUAUAUGCUGGUAACUACAGUACCAGGGGAAUACGUCUGGUUCUCAGUACUGGACGUUAAAGAUGCUUUCUUUUGCAUUCCGUUGGAAAGAAAGUCUCAACUAUUGUUUGCCUUUGAGUGGCAAGACCCAGAUACAUGGGUCACCAAUCAAUAUUGUUGGACUGUGUAGCCUCAGGGAUUUAAGAACUUUCCUACACUGUUUAGUGAAACCCUGGCAAAAGACUUGAGAGGACUCCAACUCAACCAAGGAACAUUACUACAAUAUAUUGAUGAUUUGCUGAUAGCAAGUCCUAGUUACCAAUAAUACCCUUGCUUGGUGUGGCUACAACUUGUCCCCAAAGAAGGCCCAGAUUUUUAAACAACAGGUGGCCUAUUUGGGUUUCCAAAUAAGCCAAGACACCUGUAACUUGAUGUCUGACUGAUGACAGGCAAUUUUACAGGUAAGAUGCCCUCAGAACUGAAAACAAUUAUGAGGAUGUUUAGGCAUGGGAGGGUUCUCGCGGAUCUGAAUUCCCAAUUUUGGACUAAUAGCUAAACCACCGUAUGAUGCUUUAAAGGGAAAAGAAACAGAUCCCCUCAUAUGGUCAGGAGAACACCAAAAGGCGUUUGAGACCUUGAAGCAGGAGUUAUUGACUGCAUCGGCCUUGGGCCUCCCAGAUCUAAAGAAAGAAUUUAAACUCUAUGUACAUGAAAGGCAGGGAAUAGCUCUGGGAGUUUUGACACAGUCUGGGAGAGGUGCCCAGACCAGUGGCCUACUUAUCUAAACAAUUGUAUCACACUGCCAAAGGAUGGCCUCCAUGCCUGUGGGCUAUAGCAGCCACCUGUGACUUGCUCAGGAAGCAGAAAAAUUUACCUUGGGACAGCCUACCGUGGUAUAUGUUCCCCAUCAAGUGCUCAUGUUCCUUGAACAAAAAAGGGGCAUAUUGGUUAACUGCUGGAAAGAUGGGCAGAUACUGAGCUAUUUUGAUAGACAAUCCUAACAUCACCUUAAGGACCGUAACAAUCUUGAACCCUGCCACCUUACUUCUGAACUCUGAAAAUGUUUCAACUUUCACAACUGUCUAGAGGUUAUAGAAACUGUGUGUUCAAGCUGAUUAGACUUGUCAGAUGAGCCCCUUACAAAUCCAGAUUGGGAUCUAUUCACCGAUGGCAGCAGCUUUAUAAAUGAUGGACAGAGACGAGCAGGUUAUGCAGUGGUGACUAAAGGAGAGGUUAUCGAGAUACAGGCGCUCUCUCUGGGAACUUUGGCACAAAAAGCAGAAUUGAUUGCCCUCACGAGGGCCUUACAACUGUCAAAAGGGAAAAAGGUGAAUAUAUACACUGAUUCAAAGUAUGCAUUCAUGGUGGCCCAUGCUCAUGGAGCCACGUGGAAAGAAACGGGGCUACUAACUGCAGGAAAUAAAGAAAUAAAAUAUGCUUUAGAAAUAUUAACUCUGCUACAAGUAGUAACAGAGCUAAAAUCAGUCACCAUUAUGCACUUCCCAGGCCAUCAAAACACUGACUCCUAUAUAGCUUCUGGAAAUCGAAUGGCAGAGAAGGCAGCGAAGAAAGCUGCCAAAGGACCUAAAUUUUGGGGGACCCUCAUCGCACAAUUAGACCUAAAUCAAUAUGACCCCUCUUAGAUGGAGGAGGACCUAAAGAGGGCACAAUAAUGGGGUUUUGAUGACUGGGAUCCUCCUCAUAAAUGGAAAAUAAACCUUCAUGGGCUCAUUCUACUCCCUGAGGCUCUGGUGUGGCCCUUGAUAAAAUACUUGCAUGAAUGUACCCAUUAUGGAAGAGAUGCCUUAGUAGACUUCAUACAGCCUCACCUUAGAGGGCCCACGAUGCAUCAACUGGCUUGGAAGUCCUCCCACUCCUGCCCGAUAUGUGCUAUAAACAACCCAAAGAUGAAAAGACAACACCCACAGAACGGAACUCAAUAUUCCAAAGAACAACCUUGUAAGGACUGGCAAGUGGACUUUACACAAAUGCCUAAGACAACUGGAAAUUCUAAAUCCUUAUUAGCAUUUAUAAACACCUUUUCAGGGUGGUAUUACCCACCAGAACUGAGAUAACCACUGAGGUAGCCAAGUGCUUGCUAAAAGAUAUUAUUCCUAGGUUUGGACUGCCAUCCAGUGUCCAGAGUGAUAAUGGACUUGUCUUUGUAGCUGAAGUUAUACAACAAGUUGCCUCCCCACCUUGAAACUUCACUGAAUCCAUUCCAAGCAGGAGAUAAGGUGCUUCUGAAGGUGUGGAAGGAAAAAGGACCAGAACAACAACUUGAAGAAAAGUUGAAAGGAUCCUAGGAUGUGUUAUUAACCACCCAUACAUCCUUUAAGUUGACAGAUAUAAGACUGUGGGUGCACCACACUAGAGUAAAGAAGUGCCAGACGAUUUCUAGUCACAGGCACCUUCUCCUGAUAAGUGGGAAAGCAGACCAUUGGAGGGUUUUAAGCUGCUCUUCAAAAAACAGCCAUGAGAUACAUCACAUUGCUAAUUCAUCUGUAUUCCUUACAUUUUCCAGUUAUUGCCUGACUGGACAACUCCCAACUCCCUGGUAUGCAUUGCACAAACCAUUGCUAAUGCAAUGCAAGAUGUGGACUGCUGGAUUUGUCUUCCUUGAGCUCAGUCCACUCCGGGUCAUGGGGACCCCCUGGUGCAUCCUGUAUCAGACUUUACCCAAGUCCCUGAUGGGGACUGGGUCCCUAAGUGAGACCUUCGGGCUCGCAACCUUAUGUACCACAUAUGCAUCAGUCACUUCCCUCAUGAGAACUUUUCUAAAAUUGCCUGUCUUAUGCUUCCUCUCUCCACCAGUACUGUUCUAUAUUGGAUCCAGGGCACCCAGUAGAUACCUGAAUACUUUGAAAUGACUUUGCCUCCACCCUCAAGGCAACUCCCUAUGUGUGUUCAGCAGUCCACCAGAUACCCAGUGGAAGAAAUUAAAUCCAUGGUUGACUAUUCAUUUCUGGAGAGAUCCUGGAUGGAAUGAACUGGAUUCAAAGUUGGUUACUAUUUCUAGACUAAUAGCUCUGUCAGCUACUACACUCACAAUGAAGGUGAAAGACUUAAGAGUAACCCCAGUUCCUGGAAGUCUGGAUAUACAACUAAGGGGUAGAGUUCUUGUGUCCUGCAGCUGGCUGGCAAUAAAGAAGAAAAACCUCUGCAUCAGCAGAAAAGCUUCCUGGCACCAGAAUCCACUAUCCACCAGGGAGGAAGACAAUCAAGGACAUCUAACCUGUGGAUUCCCUUAUGUCACCAUCCUCCUCCCUGCAAACAGUCUCACAAAGCCAAACGCAGGCUGGUGGGAAAGCGCCGACCAGCAAGGCCACAGGCUCCCCCUCCCUAUAAGCAGCCAUAUUCCUCACAACCUUUAAAACCCCUUAUCCACUUCUUAAUGGGGUGCCAGCAGUUCCUAAGGCACUAUCCUGCUGCUGCUCCCUUUGCCUAGCAAAAAAAAAAGUAAGCUUUUUUUUCUUUUCAUUUUCACCCAAAACUCUGUUCUCGUUAUUUGGAUUGGUACUGAGUUCAGAGACCGAACUUUCGGUAACAUAACUAGAAAGCUCAGGAGAAGCAUAAGUCCUGUAGAGGAUAACAGCACUAUAAUUACAAUUUUCAUUGGAGACCUGAUCUAGCUAUUUCAUUCUAAACUUCUGAUUCCAACUAGAAGAUAAAUCUUAAGUGGGCAAUAGAAACUUCUGGGCCAUACAUGAUGUCAUUCACUUCUCCAAAUAUAGGACUUUUAUAGGAAAUGCUUUCAUAUCACAUUUCUGGUCCUCUAAUACCUUAGAUCAGCCUCUCUAGAAUCAUGCUCUGUGAUGGGGAUUCUCCUUCAAGUGUUUUAUAAAGAUGAUGCUCUGAAAGAAAAGUGUUAGGGAAGAAAGGAAGUAGGACAGGGAGGGAAAAGAGCUAAGGAAGAAUGUGUUUUUGCUAGAAUGUAAUGUGAACCCAUCCACACAGGUAUUUCUGGAACACGAAUUUUACCAUUGAGUAAAUUUUAUGAUCAGACAAGAAGAAUGCCCUUUUGUUAGCCCUGCUCAGCAUCCCAGUAUCAAUCAGUCAUUGACUGUAGGCUGUUUUAGUGAGCAAUUGUUGGAGGGACGGAGGAGAAGGAUUAUAAAAUCAUCUAGCCUUGAAUGCUUACUCAAGUUGAUCCAAGGACAAUUCUCAAGAGUGCAGCUGUGACCCAGCAGCAGCCUACCAUCAUGUCAGAUUAAAUGAAGAGGGGUAUAGCCAGCUAGGGGGAUGGGUGCACCAGGCCACUAAAGGAAAUCUGGGACAGAGUCUCCUAUACUAAAUAAAUAUGGCAUGAUAUUCCUGUUAUGCUUAGCCACUUUUAAAGAGGAAACAAAAAUAAUAAAG